rnacentral:rRNA from 1 species
GACAGAGGGUGCAAACGUUGUUCGGAAUUACUGGGCGUAAAGCGCGUGUAGGCUGCUUCGAAAGUCGGAUGUGAAAGCCCUGGGCUCAACCUAGGAAGUGCAUUCGAAACUUCGAAGCUUGAGUUCUGGAGAGGAAGGCGGAAUUCUCGGUGUAGAGGUGAAAUGCGUAGAUAUUGGGAGGAACACCAGUGGCGAAGGCGGCUCACUGGACCGGUACUGACGCUGAUGCGCGAAAGCGUGGGGAGCAAACGGG